rnacentral:rRNA from 1 species
CCCCUAGAUGUUCUGGGCUGCACGCGCGCUACACUGAUGUGUUCAUCGGGUUCGACCUUGCCCGGGAGGGUUGGGUAAUCCUUUCAAAACACAUCGUGAUGGGGAUAGAUUAUUGCAAUUAUUAAUCUUCAACGAGGAAUUCCUAGUAAGCGCGAGUCAUCAGCUCGUGCUGAUUACGUCCCUGCCCUUUGUACACACCGCCCGUCGCUCCUACCGAUUGAAUGGUCCGGUGAAGCCUCCGGAUUGCGCGGCUUCGGCUGUCGCGAGAAGUUGGCUAAACCUUACCAUUUAGAGGAAGGUGAAGUCGUAACA